GCGAACGCUGGCGGCCGGCUUCACACAUGCAAGUCGCGCGGGCAUCCUUGUGGUGUCAGCGGCAGACGGGUGAGUAACGCGUGGGAACGUGCCCUUCGGUUCGGAAUAACUCAGGGAAACUUGAGCUAAUACCGGAUACGUGCGAGAGCAGAAAGGUUUAUCUGCCGAAGGAUCGGCCCGCGUCUGAUUAGCUAGUUGGUGAGGUUACGGCUCACCAAGGCGACGAUCAGUAGCUGGUCUGAGAGGAUGAUCAGCCACACUGGGACUGAGACACGGCCCAGACUCCUACGGGAGGCAGCAGUGGGGAAUAUUGGACAAUGGGGGCAACCCUGAUCCAGCCAUGCCGCGUGAGUGAUGACGGCCUUAGGGUUGUAAAGCUCUUUUCUCCGGGACGAUAAUGACGGUACCGGAGGAAUAAGCCCCGGCUAACUUCGUG
rnacentral:rRNA from 1 species